rnacentral:rRNA from 1 species
UACAGAGGGGGCAAGCGUUAUUCGGAAUUAUUGGGCGUAAAGGGCGCGUAGGCGGAUCGUUCAGUCGGGGGUGAAAUCCCAGGGCUCAACCCUGGGACUGCCUUUGAUACUGGCGGUCUGGAGAUCGGGAGAGGUGAGUGGAAUUCCGAGUGUAGAGGUGAAAUUCGUAGAUAUUCGGAGGAACACCAGAAGCGAAGGCGGCUCACUGGCCCGAGACUGACGCUGAGGCGCGAAAGCGUGGAGAGCAAACAGG